ACAGCAUUCGAAAGAUCGCAUGAAAAGCUUUCAAAUCCGUUUUGUUGAUCGAAAUCAAUAAAAAUACAUUCUAUCAUGAUAGAACAUGCUUCUUAUUGCAUUAUAUGUCCAAAUUGUUUGCUUCCUGGUUGCCCCCGCGUACAGCUCGCCCAUAUCGGUGCCCGGGAAGGUUGUACUCUUUGUCGGUGAAGCUGGUUCGGGGACGAAUUUUUGUUUGACGACGUUAACUCUGGGGUUGGGAAUGCCAAGUUGGCAGUUAAUGGCAAAGAUCUUAGCCGUGUUGAGGUUUUUAAAGUAGGUGCAGUACGUCGAGGUCUAGAUAGCGUCACUAAUGACUUUCUAGCCUCUCAGGGUGAAGAUUACGGGUUGAAGGAGGUCGGUUUUGCCCUAGCGGUACUAACCGGAGGCGGCCCGCGUCUAAAUACGCCGGCUUUGCUUGGCAAACCCGACGGUGUUCACAUGAUCGUUUUCUGGGAGGAUGACGAUUAAAAGUCCGAAAUCGAUCGAGAGCUGCUUGUUGCCCUCGAUGGUGAGGCCCAGUUGCCAUUCGAAUCGCGGAAUGACCUUCUAGCGUAGGCGCGUCCAUCUCUCAGCAGACACGCGGAAUGUGAAUCGCUAGAAAUUCGACCACCCUCGAGAUUCCCCCGGACGAUGGUUCACUCUAGUAAUCACCGUCCUCAUCCGGAACUUGUUCCGUUUGAAUCA